rnacentral:rRNA from 1 species
UUGAUCCUGGCUCAGAACGAACGCUGGCGGCGCGUUUUAAGCAUGCAAGUCGAACGGUAGUACAGAGCUUGCUCUGUAUGAGAGUGGCGAACGGGUGAGUAACACGUAGGUAAUCUACCUUUGGAUUGGGGAUAGCCCAUGGAAACAUGGGGUAAUACCGAAUAAAUCGUAUACCGUAGAGGUAAACGGGAAAGGCGCUUUGGCGCCGUCCGGGGAUGAGCCUGCGGCUUAUUAGUUAGUUGGUAGGGUAACGGCCUACCAAGGCGACGAUAAGUAGCCGGCCUGAGAGGGUGAACGGCCACACUGGGACUGAGACACGGCCCAGACUCCUACGGGAGGCAGCAGCUAAGAAUCUUCCGCAAUGGACGCAAGUCUGACGGAGCGACGCCGCGUGGGUGACGAAGGCCGAAAGGUUGUAAAGCCCUUUUCUUGCUGAAGAAUAAGGGCAGGAGGGAAUGCCUGUCCGAUGACGUUAGGUGAGGAAUAAGCCCCGGCCAAUUACGUGCCAGCAGCCGCGGUAACACGUAUGGGGCGAGCGUUGUUCGGAAUCAUUGGGCGUAAGGGGCGCGCAGGCGGUUAAAUAAGCCUGGUGUGACAGGCUACGGCUCAACUGUAGUUUCGCGCUGGGAACUGUUUGACUAGAGUUCUGGAGGGGAAGCUGGAAUUCCUGGUGUAGGGGUGAAAUCUGUAGAUAUCAGGAAGAACACCGGUGGCGAAGGCGAGCUUCUAGCCAAGAACUGACGCUGAGGCGCGAAAGCGUGGGGAGCGAACAGGAUUAGAUACCCUGGUAGUCCACGCUGUAAACGAUGUGCACUG